UCGUCAUCAACAUGCAAAACUACGUAUGUGUGGAAAAUUUGAAAACAAUCCAUUGAGAACUGAAAAAUCUUCAAGUGGUUGGAAGAAAACGAAAAAGAUCCAUGUAUUUUAAAUAUGGAUAGAUAGAUAGAUAGAUAGAGAGAGAGGUGUGUGUGUGUUAUUAAAUGCUACUUAACAAGCUAUUCUUGAUAAUGAGUUUAAAGUUCACAGUUGUAAGCCAUGGUAUGAAUAUCUUUGUUGGCAUGGUGAGUGAGGACGCACCAAUCUAGCUUUAUCAAUAUCUCCCCCUCUUUUUCCUAUCUACUCUUCCCGCUACUACUACUACUACUGCUGCUGCUGCUGCUACAACAUUUGUUAUUUCCUUGUUCUUGCUAUGUCACUGUUUAACUAUUUACGUAACUGGUGGGUUUAGUAGUCGAACGAAGUGAUCGGUCUUAGAAACUAAACAAACCUGCACAAUUCAUCUGAUGAUGUAUACACGAACCUCUUGAUUACUCACUCUGCGCCAGUCUGUCAGCAAGCAUUGUUUUAAAUUGAGCACAUCGCAUAUUUUGGCUACUUUCUCUGUUUUGUUAAUAACAGAGAGAAAGAAAGAAGUAUUAAGAAAAUUACAAUAAAUACAUCAGCUUUUAAGUAUCCAACAUCCGAUGUAACAGAAAUUUAUAUCCAUCACUAAUAUUUAUAUUGAACUAAGGAAGGAAUAACUUUCCGUCUAAAAUUAUACGUUUCAUCAAAUAAUAUAUUUAUCGUUUUUUUUUUUUAACUGAAAUGUCUGAAAAGCCUAAUGUUAUUAGUCAUAAUAAAAGAUUGACUGAGAAUUUUCUAGAUAAAUACAGACGGCAGCCAGGGGAAACCCCGAAAGAUGAAGUGGAUGGUUCGAAAGACUGGUGCUACGACUGUUUCCUUCAUUAUGAUAAAAACAAAGACAGAUUUUUGGAUUUGGAUGAAUUUACCGAGAUGGUUAAGGACAUUUUCCCUGAGUCGGACAGCUGUGCAGCUUCUAUAUCCAGUGAAUUGCUAGAACUUUUAGAUGAAGAUGGAGAUCAUCUGUUGGGUAGGCAGGAAAAUCGAUGGAAAGUAUGGCUAAGCCGAGUAAUAAGACCAAUUUCUGCUAUUUUGAUCAUAGAUGUCCAAAACGAUUUUAUCGACGGAACGUUAUCAUUAGAGAAAUGUCCUGCAGGUCAGGAUGGAGCGGAUGUCAUCCCUGUAAUUAACAAACUUAUUAAGUCAGUAAAAUUUGAUUUGGUGGUAUAUUCAUUGGACUGGCAUGAUGACAAACAUAUAUCUUUUAUCGAUAAUUUACGUACAAGAACUUUACACUCCAGCUUUACUCGUUCUCCUGAAGAAAUCCAGUUGUAUGACAAAGUAAUAUUUAGCAUGCCAACAGCUCAGUCACAGGUACUUUGGCCACGGCAUUGUGUCCGGGGAACUUGGGGUGCCCAAUUACAUCGAGAAUUAUAUGUCGCGCCGGGUUCAGUGCAGGUAUUUAAGGGCACUGACACCGACGUUGACAGCUACUCGGCUUUUUUCGACAACAAUAGAGCUUCCCAAACACAGCUGUUUUCCAUCUUGCAGAGCCACAGCGUGACCGACGUUUAUGUCUGUGGAAUUGCCUAUGACGUGUGUGUUAAGUACACAGCCUUAGAUGCCCUUCAUUUGGGCUUUCAGACCUGCCUAAUUGACGAUGCAUCCAAAGGAGUUAAACUGGAAGAUAUUGAGAAAACUAAAACGGAUUUAGUAGAGAAAGGUUGUUGUUUACUACAAUCUCAACAGAUUUCCGAAAAUUUAUCGAAGGCAUUCCAGAAUACUGACCGCGGACUAUGGAUUGCUCGGGCACUUUCCAAUGCGCCAUGUGUAUCGUAACGAUAUUGCUGUGAACCACCUGGAUAAAAACCAAGUCGAAAGAAAGGAAAUCGAGAUAUUUGUUUACAAGAUGUGCAUGUUUAUUUGGAAAUGUGCCAAUACAGUCGAAGACCAAUGCUCAGAAACACCAUAAUACGUAGCGCUGAAAGCUUGAUGAUUGAAGGGAAAUAACUCAAGAACACUGUGGAAAAACUAAUGACUUUUUUAUUUUCAUUUUCUGCUUUAGUUCAAUAUCUAUGGUUUUGCAACAAAAGAUAUAUUUGAUAUAA